rnacentral:rRNA from 1 species
GAUGAACGCUGGCGGCGUGCCUAAUACAUGCAAGUCGAGCGAACAGACGAGGAGCUUGCUCCUCUGACGUUAGCGGCGGACGGGUGAGUAACACGUGGAUAACCUACCUAUAAGACUGGGAUAACUUCGGGAAACCGGAGCUAAUACCGGAUAAUAUAUUGAACCGCAUGGUUCAAUAGUGAAAGACGGUUUUGCUGUCACUUAUAGAUGGAUCCGCGCCGCAUUAGCUAGUUGGUAAGGUAACGGCUUACCAAGGCAACGAUGCGUAGACGACCUGAGAGGGUGAUCGGCCACACGGGAACUGAGAAACGGUCCAGAAUCCUACGGGAGGAAGCAGUAGGGAAUCUUCCGCAAUGGGCGAAAGCCUGACGGAGCAACGCCGCGUGAGUGAUGAAGGUCUUCGGAUCGUAAAACUCUGUUAUUAGGGAAGAACAAAUGUGUAAGUAACUAUGCACGUCUUGACGGUACCUAAUCAGAAAGCCACGGCUAACUACGUG